UACCAAGGGUGCAAACGUUGCUCGGAAUUAUUGGGCGUAAAGCGCACGUAGGCGGCUUAGCAAGUCGGAUGUGAAAUCCCUCGGCUCAACCAAGGAAGUGCAUCCGAAACUGCUGAGCUUGAGUACGAAAGAGGAUCGCGGAAUUCCCGGUGUAGAGGUGAAAUUCGUAGAUAUCGGGAGGAACACCAGCGGCGAAGGCGGCGAUCUGGGUCGAUACUGACGCUGAGGUGCGAAAGCGUGGGGAGCAAACAGG
rnacentral:rRNA from 1 species